UGUCUUUUUGAAAAUAAUAUAAAGUCUAAUCUGCCCACUGAUUUAUAAUUGAAGGGCUGCAGUAUUUUGACUGUACAAAGGUAGCAUAAUCAUUAGUCAUUUAAUUGAUGACUUGUAUGAAAGAUUGGAUGAAAUAUAUACUGUCUCUUAAUUAUUAAUGUAGAAUUUAAUUUUUUAUUUAAAAAGUUAAAAUAUAUUAAAAAGACGAGAAGACCCUAUAGAGUUUUAUAAUUAAAUUUAAUUGAAAUUAUUUAUGAAAUUAAAAUUAAAAUUAAUUUAAUUAUUGUAUUGGGGUGAUAGAAAAAUAUAAGUAACUUUUUAUAUAUUAUAAAACAUUAAUAUGUGAUUAAAUGAUCCAAUAUUAUUGAUUAUAAGAAAAAAUUACCUUAGGGAUAACAGCGUAAUUUUUUUUUUUAGUUCAUAUAAAAAAGAGAGUUUGCGACCUCGAUGUUGGAUUAAGAUAAAAUUUAAAUGUAGAAG
rnacentral:rRNA from 1 species